UGUCACCAGGUGUCUAGAUUAAUCCAGAUGGGUCACCAGGUGUCUAGAUUAAUCCAGAUGGGUCACCAGGUGUCUAGAUUAAUCCAGAUGGGUCACCAGGUGUCUAGAUUAAUCCAGAUGGGUCACCAGGUGUCUAGAUUAAUCCAGAUGGGUCACCAGGUGUCUCGAUUAAUCCAGAUGGGUCACCAGGUGUCUAGAUAAAUCCAGAUGAGUCACCAGGUGUCUAGAUGAGUCACCAGGUGUCUAGAUUAAUCCAGAUGGGUCACCAGGUGUCUAGAUUAAUCCAGAUGAGUCACCAGGUGUCUAGAUGAGUCACCAGGUGUCUAGAUUAAUCCAGAUGGGUCACCAGGUGUCUAGAUUAUUCCAGAUGAGUCACCAGGUGUCCAGAUGGGUCACCAGGUGUCUAGAUGUGUCCAGAUGGGUCACCAGGUGUCUAGAUUAAUCCAGAUGAGUCACCAGGUGUCCAGAUGGGUCACACCAGGUGUCUAGAUUAAUCCAGAUGAGUCACCAGGUGUCUAGAUGUGUCCAGAAGAGUCACCAGGUGUCUAGAUUAAUCCAGAUGGGUCACCAGGUGUCUAGAUGGGUCACCAGGUGUCUAGAUGUGUCCAAGUGUCACCAGGUGUCUAGAUUAAUCCAGAUGGGUCACCAGGUGUCUAGAUUAAUCCAGAUGGGUCACCAGGUGUCUAGAUGUGUCCAGAUGGGUCACCAGGUGUCUAGAUUAAUCCAGAUGGGUCACCAGGUGUCCAGAUGGGUCACCAGGUGUCUAGAUAAAUCCAGAUGGGUCACCAGGUGUCUAGAUUAAUCCAGAUGGGUCACCAGGUGUCUAGAUUAAUCCAAAUGGGUCACCAGGUGUCUAGAUUAAUCCAGAUGGGUCACCAGGUGUCUAGAUUAAUCCAGAUGGGUCUCCUUGUGUCUAGAUGGGUCACCAGGUGUCUUGAUUAAUCCAGAUGGGUCACCAGGUGUCUAGAUUAAUCCAGAUGGGUCACCAGGUGUCUAGAUUAAUCCAGAUGAGUCACCAGGUGUCUAGAUUAAUCCAGAUGGGUCACCAGGUGUCUAGAUGGGUCACCAGGUGUCUAGAUUAAUCCAUAUGGGUCACCAGGUGUGUAGAUUAAUCCAGAUGGGUCACCAGGUGUCUAGAUGUGUCCAGAUGGGUCACCAGGUGUCUAGAUUAAUCCAGAUGGGUCACCAGGUGUCUAGAUUAAUCCAGAUGGGUCACCAGGUGUCUAGAUGUGUCCAGAUGGGUCACCAGGUGUCUAGAUUAAUCCAGAUGGGUCACCAGGUGUCUAGAUUAAUCCAGAUGGGUCACCAGGUGUCUAGAUGUGUCCAGAUGGGUCACCAGGUGUCUAGAUUAAUCCAGAUGGGUCACCAGGUGUCCAGAUGGGUCACCAGGUGUCUAGAUAAAUCCAGAUGAGUCACUAGGUGUCUAGAGGUGUCCAGAUGGGUCACCAGGUGUCUAGAUUAAUCCAGAUGGGUCAC